CCUACGAGAGGCAGCAGUGAGGAAUAUUGGUCAAUGGACGAGAGUCUGAACCAGCCAAGCAGCGUGAAGGCUGACGGACCUAUGUAUUGUAAACUUCUUUUAUAUGGGAAUAAAAUGUUCCCCGUGUCGUAGUUUGUAUGUACCAUAUGCAUCAGGAUCGGCUAACUCCGUGCCAGCAGCCGCGGUAAUACGGAGGAUCCGAGCGUUAUCCGGAUUUAUUGGGUUUAAAGGGAGCGUAGGUGGAUUGUUAAGUCAGUUGGGAAAGGUGGGGGCUCAACCGUAAAAUUGCAGUUGAAACUGGCAGUCUUGAGUACAGUAGAGGUGGGCGGAAUGCGUGGUGUAGCGGUGAAAUGCUUAGAUAUCACGAAGAACUCCGAUUGCGAAGGCAGCUCACUGGACUGCAACUGACACUGAGGCUCGAAAGUGUGGGUAUCAAACAGGAUUAGAUACCCCAGUAGUC
rnacentral:rRNA from 1 species